rnacentral:rRNA from 1 species
AACGCGAAGAACCUUACCUGGUCUUGACAUCUACGGAGCCCUGCAGAGAUGCGGGGGUGCCUUCGGGAACCGUAAGACAGGUGCUGCAUGGCUGUCGUCAGCUCGUGUCGUGAGAUGUUGGGUUAAGUCCCGCAACGAGCGCAACCCUUGUCCUUAGUUGCCAGCAUUCAGUUGGGAACUCUAAGGAGACCGCCGGUGACAAACCGGAGGAAGGUGGGGAUGACGUCAAGUCAUCAUGGCCUUUAUGACCAGGGCUACACACGUGCUACAAUGCCCGGUACAGCGCGUCGCGAACUCGCGAGAGGGAGCCAAUCGCUAAAAGCCGGGCUAAGUUCGGAUUGCAGUCUGCAACUCGACUGCAUGAAGCCGGAAUCGCUAGUAAUCGCGGAUCAGCCAGCCGCGGUGAAUACGUUCCCGGGCCUUGUACACACCGACUGUAC